rnacentral:rRNA from 1 species
AGUGAACGCUGGCGGUAGGCCUAACACAUGCAAGUCGAACGGCAGCACAGUAAGAGCUUGCUCUUACGGGUGGCGAGUGGCGGACGGGUGAGGAAUACAUCGGAAUCUACCUUUUCGUGGGGGAUAACGUAGGGAAACUUACGCUAAUACCGCAUACGACCUACGGGUGAAAGCAGGGGAUCUUCGGGCCUUGCGCGAUUGAAUGAGCCGAUGUCGGAUUAGCUAGUUGGCGGGGUAAAGGCCCACCAAGGCGACGAUCCGUAGCUGGUCUGAGAGGAUGAUCAGCCACACUGGAACUGAGACACGGUCCAGACUCCUACGGGAGGCAGCAGUGGGGAAUAUUGGACAAUGGGCGCAAGCCUGAUCCAGCCAUACCGCGUGGGUGAAGAAGGCCUUCGGGUUGUAAAGCCCUUUUGUUGGGAAAGAAAAGCAGCAGGUUAAUACCCCGCUGUUCUGACGGUACCCAAAGAAUAAGCACCGGCUAACUUCGUG